GUUGUGGCUCAGCGGCAGAGCGUUCGGCUAGCACAUGUGGGGUCCUGGGUUCCAUUCGCAGCACACA
rnacentral:tRNA from 1 species